rnacentral:tRNA from 1 species
GGAGAGGUCGCAUAGUGGCCUAGUGCGCGGGCUUGGAAAGCUCGUGUCGCCGAAAGGUGACCGUGGGUUCGACUCCCACCCUCUCCG